UUGUCCCGAUGCCGUCAUCCCCUCGCGCAAAGAGGAGACCAAAUUCUUUUUUCUUCGAACCACGGUUGUGUACCAAACUAUCUCGGCAUCUCCUGCGCCUCCUGUCCCCUCCAUCCACAGCAGCAGCACAUGCGUGCGAAGGAGAAAUUGGAUGGGGGCAAUAGCAGCGACAAAAAAGAUCUAGCAAAGCGUGACCCUUCCCAUCAAAUACCUACAGGUGUUGCGAUUAGCUGGUAGCUUGGCAUUUGCAUGCCCUCGUCAGGUGCAAGGAUCAUUUCAUUGCUCGGCUAGCAAUCUACCAGGGACCCUGGAAUGCUUGAAUGGUGUCGCCGACCUCAGAGAAGCCACUCCUGCCGCAACGAAGGGCCGCGACGAUCCUUCACCUGCAGAUGUUAUCUGUCUGACCCAUUCAAAGUGAGCUAUCCGAACAGCUCAAGUUCAGGGUUUCAGCUAUUUCUCCAGUUUGGCUCACACCAAGGUUUAGCAAACCAACACUGCCCUGCCUGGUCAUGAAAUUAUGUAUGCUGUCAAGUUAAUUUGUUUUUGUUUAUUAAAUUGGCUUAUGCAGAUCUAUUUGUUUCAAGUUGGUCAAUGAUUCUAUUAUCCACUAACAAAUUAAUCAGGAUCUGAGUUGGUUGCUGAGUAGAACUCAUUUCCAUCAUGAUGUGAAGAAAAGUACUUUUCCAUGAAACUUUGUAUUUAAUCCUCCUGAUUACCGAACUGAAAUGUCUCAAUAUGAUAUGUUUAUAUUUUGUAGUGGUAGAAUAUUAUUUUGACUGCAACUGCGAUACUUUCAUAGAGGAACUAUCAAACUUAAAUUAGUCUUGGCAUUCUACUUAACUGAUGAAAGAUGAUCAUGCACUUCCAUUAUUGUUUUGAAAAUUUACAUCACGUGUGCUAUUCACUGAUGGAAAAGUUCUUUGAACUUGAACAAAACAAUAUAUGGUGUUGCAUCUAUUAUGUGAGUUGAUAUAUUGCUGACUUCUAUUAGCGUCAAUAGUAAUAGUAAAAGAAUAUAUAAAAAUUGUUGAAAAGAAAGAUUGAUGUGCAUUUUGUUUGGAAGCUGCAUCAUUUUAUUUUUCAUAAGCUCUAUGAUUCGGACACUGGAUCCAGGCCAUUUGCUUUUUUUUCUCGCGAGUGAACUAGCUCCCGGCGCCGCAGGCGAGGCCCCGAGGGCUCCUCCUCGCCCGCUGCGGGGUCCAAGGCACCGUCAGCAGAUCCGCGAGAGGCGAGGUCAGCGGCUAAACCUCUGUUCAGUUCAGUUAAUAUUCCUGAUCUUAUCUAUCUGAGAUAGCAUGGGGUGUGGAAGGGCAGGUGCUGAGUGAUCCAGCACAACCUGCAGUGUAUGAUGAGAUCCAUGGGAAAAAGUCAGAAAACGGAUGGUGAACCAAGAUAAUUCAGACACAGGCAGGUCUUGGAGUGAUGUCUGGGGAUCCCCACCACGAGAUCAAAACAAUGGGUGUACAAACUUAACCAGUGAGUUGGUAUUUUUCAUCCGGAAAUUGAUUGGUAUGUAUGUCUUGGCAAUUGGAAGCAUCAACAGACUUCAAGAGAGGAAGCAUGCUAUUGCCUGUCCGAGGACUCUAGCGCCACAGUGCAGGCCGCGGUGAGCAAGUCAUCGGGUUCGGUCUCAGUCAUGUCGAUCACGUCGGCGCGGAAGCAUGCUAUUGUUUAGCUAGCUUCAUGCAGGGUCUGAGAGGACUUUUUGCGGGCUUUUAUCCUGCAGGGUCUGAGAUACUUACAGAGGAAGGAUGACCAGCUUCAUCUGGUCCAACAUCUCAUCUCAGCUACAGAAGCAGAGGCGUCUUUGUUUACAAGUCCCAUAUGGCUGGUGAAGACAAGACUGCAACUCCAAACACCUAAACAUCAUACUUCAGGAUAUUCUGGUUUUUCUGCCUUCAUAAUCUGGAGAGUUGAGGCGACGCGGCCAAGGCGGCACUGAGGUGACACGGCCGGGGUGGUGCUAAGGCGGCAACGGAGGCCAGGUGAAGAGGGCGCGCGAGGCCAUCAAGGGGGGAGCAGAGGUGGCCGGAGCGAGCGCCACUGACCUAGUGGGAGGCUGCGGCGGUGACGGCGAGGACGGUGGGGUUCGUGUCGACGAGGAGCUCAUCGAUGGGGAACCCCAGCGAGAUCGCGAUGAGCAGAGGCGAGCAGCGGUGCAGAUGGGGGAGGCAUCACCAGCGAGAGGUGGGAAAGCAUGCGGCGAGCCAGACGUCGCCUGUCGAGGCCUCAGGAUCUUUUGGGUUGGCGAAACCAACGUGUCAGCUGGUGUACUUUAUUGUUGUAAUAUCCUACUCGGCAAUUCCACCCGAAGGGAAUACUUCUCUACGGCUACGUCGUUAUCUCAACUGCCACACUCGGCUUCAAACAAGAACUACCGAACUUUGCUCUUGGAGGGUCUGGCUUCUCCUACCGAUGCCUUCACUUUGUGAAGCAUGUCCUCCUUAUAUAGUGCUGCGAAGAGCGCUGAGGCCUUCGCUGCUUCUUAUCUUCUUAUCGAGCUUAUCGUUCUGCGGCAUGGCGUAGACUUCAUCGAUAUGGAGGGAAUUUCUUCUGCAUGGUGUUCAGUUGCACGGCGCAUGGCCUUAACUGGAGUUGCUGCUUUAGUUUUCUGGAACAAGUUCCUGUGUAGAAUCUUCCAAAGAUCUGAGUGUAGGCUUAUCCAUGCAAUACUUCUGCUGUUACUUGUUAUAUCACAAUCCGAGUUUUUAGUAUUAGUAUUAUUUUAUUAUAUAUAUAUGUGUGUUUUGGAUUC